UUUUAAAAUAUUUUUGCUAUUUAAAAUAACUGUUUUCUAUUUGAAUAUAUUUUAAAAUGUAAUUUAUUCCUGUGAUCAAAGCUACAUUUUCAGCAUCCUUACUCUAGUCACAUGAUCCUUCAGAAAUCAUUCUCAUAUGUGACCCUGGACCACAAAACCAGUCAUAAGUGUCAAUUUUUCAAUAUUCAUCUUUCAGAUGAUGUAUAAAUCUCAAUUAAUAAGCUUUCCAUUUGUUAGGAUAGGACAAUAUUUGGCUGAGAUACAACUGUUUGAAAAUCUGGAACACUGAAAAAAAUUGUUUAAAGUAAGUGGUCGCAAACAAUUUAUUUUAGCUACAUUUAAUUAAAAAAAAUAUGUUGAAAGUUAGUCAACUAAAUUUGUUUAUUUAAAUGUAGCUCAAAUAAAUUGAUUGCAACCACACAGCAAAAUCUCCAGUGUUGAAAUCCUAGUUUUAAGGAUUUUUAGAGUAAAGUGUUAAGGUUGUGGUGUUGAACUUUAGGGGAUUAACACUAGCUAGUGUAAACAGCGCUCUCUGGCCGGUGUAAAUACGGAGAAUUACCCUUAUUAACUCUGUUGAGCGUUAUUAGUGACAUCCGGGACAUUUGCUCGUGUGCGCGCUUGACCCAUCUGGAAUAUUUUUCAAAGACGCCAUUUUCUUAGACUCGCGAUGCGGAGCAUAUGAGGACGGAAAACAGCGAAAUUAAGUGUUUAAUCUUACUCACAAUAUGUGUUUUGUAAUAUCAUAUCGUUUUAUAGCGAUAUUUAUGAGGUGUGUGCGCCUAAACUUUUUUUAAAGACAUUUCUUCCACUUGCGAGGCGGACCAGACAAGGACGUUUCUUUUUAAAAGGGAAACGCCGAAAGUUAAGUGUUUUAUCUCAUUUAAGUUAUAUGCAUUUCACAACAUCAUAUUGAUUUAUAGCGAUAUUUGUUUGAUGUGUACACAAACUUUUUCUCAGAGAGAUAUUUUUCUUCACUCAUGAUGCGGAGAAGACGGGCAAAUUGGUUUUAUCAUGGAAAACAGUGUUUAACUGUUGUGUUUAACCUCAUUUACAUUUUGUAUUUUAUAAAAUAAUAUUACUUUAUGACGAUAUUGUUAUGCUGUGUGCGCCUAAACGAGCCUAAACGUUUCUCACAGAUGCAUUUGAAUGGCUAUGCACUGACGCGGAAGCCACUUUUAACAGGGGAAACAUAAGAAAGAGACAUUUUCUUUCACUGGAGAUGCGGAGCAGAGAGGGAAGUUGGUCUUCUCAAGGAAAACACUGAAUGGUUCAUGCUGGUUUAACAGAAAAAUCGAAAGGAGAUGAUGUGCUUGAAGAGUAUGAAGCCACCAAUACAUUAAGUGGAAUGAGAAGAGCUUUGUUAGGACACAUACCAGAGACAUGGGAGCACUUUUGUGAUGCUGCAAGUGGGAGUUGAGUAUCUUGCUUGGCUGAAAACGGCAGAGAAACACAUCUCGUCUUGCUGAAAACUACUCUUUACAAGAAGGUCCAAACACCAUUAGCAGAGACUUUGUUCAGUUAGCAUUAACAUGCAUUCUGCCUGGAUGCUAAUGAAUGGGAUGCUGUUGUUUAAGCUGAUAAAUGUAAGCAUUAUAAACCUCAUGACAUUAAGUGUACAUAUGGACCAAAUAAGAAUAUGUAUUUUCACUGAUUUGCUUUGACAUUAUGAUGUUUUAAUUGUUGUAAGAACAUGUUCUUUACAUGCAUUGAAUGUGAAAACAUUUUUCUCAGGGAAAAAGAUUUACAAUGUUUCAAUUAAAAAUGGUA